rnacentral:rRNA from 1 species
AGUGUGAAGGCAUAGAGCCUUCACUUUUGUACACCGUAAGGUGGUGUACGAAUAAGGGCUGGGCAAGACCGGUGCCAGCCGCCGCGGUAAUACCGGCAGCCCGAGUGAUGGCCGAUAUUAUUGGGCCUAAAGCGUCCGUAGCUGGCCGGACAAGUCCGUUGGGAAAUCUGUUCGCUUAACGAGCAGGCGUCCAGCGGAAACUGUUCGGCUUGGGACCGGAAGACCUGAGGGGUACGUCCGGGGUAGGAGUGAAAUCCUGUAAUCCUGGACGGACCACCGGUGGCGAAAGCGCCUCAGGAGAACGGAUCCGACAGUGAGGGACGAAAGCUAGGGUCUCGAACCGGAUUAGAUACCCGGGUAGUCCUAGCUGUAAACGAUGCCCGCUAGGUGUGGCGCAGGCUACGAGCCUGCGCUGUGCCGUAGGGAAGCCGAGAAGCGGGCCGCCUGGGAAGUACGUCUGCAAGGAUGAAACUUAAAGGAAUUGGCGGGGGAGCACUACAACCGGAGGAGCCUGCGGUUUAAUUGGACUCAACGCCGGACAUCUCACCAGCUCCGACAGUAGUAAUGACGGUCAGGUUGAUGACCUUACCCGAUGCUACUGAGAGGAGGUGCAUGGCCGCCGUCAGCUCGUACCGUGAGGCGUCCUGUUAAGUCAGGCAACGAGCGAGACCCGCACUCNUAAUUGCCAGCAGUACCCUUUGGGUAGCUGGGUACAUUAGGUGGACUGCCGCUGCUAAAGCGGAGGAAGGAACGGGCAACGGUAGGUCAGUAUGCCCCGAAUGAGCUGGGCAACACGCGGGCUACAAUGGUCGAGACAAUGGGAUGCAACUCCG